rnacentral:rRNA from 1 species
UACAGAGGGUGCAAGCGUUGUUCGGAAUUAUUGGGCGUAAAGAGCUCGUAGGCGGUCUGUCGCGUCUGCUGUGAAAUCCCGAGGCUCAACCUCGGGCUUGCAGUGGGUACGGGCAGGCUAGAGUGCGGUAGGGGAGAAUGGAACUCCUGGUGUAGCGGUGGAAUGCGCAGAUAUCAGGAGGAACACCGGUGGCGAAGGCGGAUCUCUGGGCCGAUACUGACGCUGAGGAGCGAAAGCGUGGGGAGCAAACAGG